GCGUUGAAAAGCUCGGGGAUGACUUGUGGGUAGCGGUGAAAUUCCAAUCGAGCCCGGAGAUAGCUGGUUCUCCCCGAAAUAGCUUUAGGGCUAGCCUCAAGGUGAGAGAUACGGAGGUAGAGCGCUGAAUGUCCUAGGGGGUAUUGCACCUACCGAAGACUAUCAAACUCCGAAUGCCGUCAUCUUAUACUUGGGAGUCAGACUGUGGGUGAUAAGAUUCAUAGUCGAAAGGGCAACAGCCCAGAUCGUCA
rnacentral:rRNA from 1 species